rnacentral:rRNA from 1 species
UACGGGGGGGGCAAGCGUUGUUCGGAAUUACUGGGCGUAAAGGGCUCGUAGGCGGCCAACUAAGUCGGACGUGAAAUCCCCAGGCUCAACCUGGGAACUGCGUCCGAUACUGGAUGGCUUGAAUCCGGGAGAGGGAUGCAGAAUUCCAGGUGUAGCGGUGAAAUGCGUAGAUAUCUGGAGGAAUACCGGUGGCGAAGGCGGCAUCCUGGACCGGCAUUGACGCUGAGGAGCGAAAGCCAGGGGGAGCCAAA